UAAAGUCCCAUGAAAUGGCUCCCAGAUAAGCAACUGGAUAUUUGAAGACCCUGUGGACAUGGAUUCCUAAUAAAGGUCCUUCGAAUUUUCACUACUUCUGGGUGUAGAUAAAAUUAAUUCACAUAUAAUGGAAAGACAAAAUGUGGUAUAUCCAUACAACAGAAUACUAUACAGGAAUAAAAAUGAAUGAAUCACAGAUACAAGCAACCACAUGGAUGAACCUCAGAAACAAGACUCUUCAGUGAAAGAGGCCAGACAUAAGAGACCAACCACUCCAUUCAGAUGGGAUGUCCAGAAAAAUGGAAUCUAUAGAGACAGAAAGAAAAUUGGGGUUACCUGGGAUGGGGGUGAGGGAUUGCAGUAAAUAUGCAUGAGGGAUAUUAUUGGGGUGAUGGAAAUGUUCCCAAAUUGAUUUACUGUGAUGGUAUGCAACUUUGUAGAUGUACUAAAAUGUCAUUGAAUUGUGCACUUGAAACAAGUGAAUGAUGUGUAAAAUGUGCAAUACAGUUAUUUAUAAAAUAAAAAAUUAACAUAUAUGCAUCACACUACUUAUAAUGCAUUUAAAAAUAACUUAUAGACAAUGUAACACAAAUAAAUAGUUUCUUUCCCAAGGAGG
rnacentral:lncRNA from 1 species